GAUGAACGCUGGCGGCGUGCCUAAUACAUGCAAGUCGAGCGAACAGACGCGGAGCUUGCUCCUCUGACGUUAGCGGCGGACGGGUGAGUAACACGUGGAUACCCUACCUAUAAGACUGGGAUCACUUCGGGAAACCGGAGAUAAUACCGGAUAAUAUAUUGAACCGCAUGGUUCAAUAGUGAAAGACGGUUUUGCUGUCACUUCUAGAUGGAUCCGCGCCGCAUUAGCUAGUUGGUAAGGUAACGGCGUACCAAGGCAACGAUGCGUAGCCGACCUGAGAGAGGGGUCGGCCACACGGGAACUGAGACGCGGUCCAUACUCCUACGGGAGGCCGCAGUAUGGAAUCGUCCGCAAUGGGCGAGAGCAUGACGGAGCAGCGCCGCGUGAGUGAUGAAGAUCUUCGGAGCGUGAAACUCUGUUAUUAGGGAAGAACAAAUGUGUAAGUAACUAUGCACGUCUUGACGGUACCUAAUCAGAAAGCCACGGCUAACUACGUG
rnacentral:rRNA from 1 species